ACGGAAGGCAGCAGUGGGGAAUAUUGCACAAUGGGCGCAAGCCUGAUGCAGCGAUGCCGCGUGAGGGAAGAAGGUUUUCGGAUUGUAAACCUCUGUCAACAGGGACGAAAAUGACGGUACCUGUGAAGGAAGCUCCGGCUAACUACGUGCCAGCAGCCGCGGUAAUACGUAUGGUGCAAGCGUUAUUCGGAUUUACUGGGUGUAAAGGGAGCGUAGACGGCAUGGCAAGUCUGAAGUGAAAUGCGGGGGCUCAACCCCUGAACUGCUUUGGAAACUGUCAAGCUAGAGUGUCGGAGAGGUAAGUGGAAUUCCUAGUGUAGCGGUGAAAUGCGUAGAUAUUAGGAGGAACACCAGUGGCGAAGGCGGCUUACUGGACGAUAACUGACGUUGAGGCUCGAAAGCGUGGGGAGCAAACAGGAUUAGAUACCCUGGUA
rnacentral:rRNA from 1 species